AGAGCCCAGCACCGAAUCCUUCACCAUCUCGGUGACAGGAAAUGUGGUGUUUAGGCCGUACCUUGUCCCGACACGUCUCUCCUCAAGUCCACUUGAUUGUGGCCCCAGGCCCAGAGAGGGUGUAAGGCCCGUGGAGGCGAGACGUUCGGUACCUGGUGCGUCCUUAGAGUCGGGUUGUUUGGGAAUGCAGCCCUAAGCGGGUGGUAAACUCCAUCCAAGGCUAAAUACCAGCACGAGUCCGAUAGCGAAGAAGUACCGCGAGGGAAGGUUGAAAAGAACUUUGAAGAGAGAGUUCAAGAGUACGUGAAACCGCUGAGAGGCAAACUGGUGGAACUGAAAUGGUCCCGAGGAAUUCAGCCGUUGGUCGUUGCACAGUCUUUGGUGAUUGAUCUAACGACGGCGCCAUUGAAUGACGUUUCGAUCAUCGGUGCACUUUCCUCGCCUGGGCCCGACCACGACCGGUGAGCUGAUCUGUCUGUCGUGCUUGGAAGAUAGCGCCGUCUUCGGAAGGCGUGUUAUAGACAGGCAUACGGAGCAGUCGGCGCACUGGAUGAUAGUGCCUGCCCAUCUGGGCUCAUAUGGUGGUUGUUUUGUUGGCGAGUUCUGAUGUCACUACUUCGGUAGAGUCGUUAGACUCUGUUGGCAUUAUGGCUGUCCUCUAUGAUUGGCACUGUUAAGUCUGUGGUUGUGAAGUAGGUAGUCCACCUGACCCGUCUUGAAACACGGACCAAGGAGUCUAACAUGUGCGCGAGUCAUUGGGUUNACGAAACCUAAAGGCGCAGUGAAGGUAAAGAUCUGUUUUGGCAGAUUGAGGUGGGAUGCCGGGUUACGCGCCCGGCCGCACUACCGGCCCGUUCUAUAUGUCUUUCAUAGGAGCGGAGCAAGAGCGUACACGUUGGGACCCGAAAGAUGGUGAACUAUGCUUGCGCAGGUCGAAGCCAGA
rnacentral:rRNA from 1 species